rnacentral:rRNA from 1 species
UACAGGGGGGGGCGAGCGUUGUUCGGAAUUACUGGGCGUAAAGGGCGCGUAGGCGGCCAACUAAGUCAGACGUGAAAUCCCUCGGCUCAACCGGGGAACUGCGUCUGAUACUGGAUGGCUUGAAUUCGGGAGAGGGAUGCGGAAUUCCAGGUGUAGCGGUGAAAUGCGUAGAUAUCUGGAGGAACACCGGUGGCGAAGGCGGCAUCCUGGACCGAGAUUGACGCUGAUGCGCGAAAGCCAGGGGAGCAAACGGG